UACGGAGGGUGCAAGCGUUAUCCGGAUUCACUGGGUUUAAAGGGUGCGUAGGAGGGCAGGUAAGUCAGUGGUGAAAUCUCCAAGCUUAACUUGGAAACUGCCGUUGAUACUAUCUGUCUUGAAUACCGUGGAGGUGAGCGGAAUAUGUCAUGUAGCGGUGAAAUGCUUAGAUAUGACAUAGAACACCAAUUGCGAAGGCAGCUCGCUACACGAAUAUUGACUCUGAGGCACGAAAGCGUGGGGAUCAAACAGGAUUAGAAACCCGUGUAGUCC
rnacentral:rRNA from 1 species